rnacentral:lncRNA from 1 species
AUGAGACUGCUGCGCUCCCCAGACGAGGAAACCUGGUCUCCCGGAGCCAGGUAACCCACCCGCAGCCUGCGGGAGAGCCGAGGUCUGCAGCCGGGCCGUCGGGCUGCCUCUUCCCGGGGACCCGGGAGCGGGGGGCGGGGGGCAUGGUGGCCUCUCGGGCUGCUCCGAACGUCCCCUCCAAACAGCGAGGGGACGCACAGCCCCACUCAGGAGGGAGCCAAUGACAUUGAACCUGAACCCAAGCCAGCCUUAGACUGAACUUUCAAAGUACCAUUAAGCAACGCCGUGAGGAAAUGGAACAUUCGACAAGGUAUUAUGUCGCAUCUCUCUCUCUUUUUUUUUUUUUUUAGGUGGAGUCUCGCUCUGUCGCCCAGGCUGGAGUGCGGUGGCGCGAUCUCGGCUCACUGCAAGCUCCGCCUCCCGGGUUCACGCCAUUCUCCUGCCUCAGCCUCCCGAGUAGCUGGGACUACAGCAGUCACAGAAAGGGAUGGCUGUAAGAACCCAACGCAGGCCAGGCUAGAGGCAGGAGUCAAGGCCGGCUGCCGUAGGGCUCAGGAUGUCCAUCCGACCGUGACCUCAGCACUCAUUGAUAAAAGGAGAGUAGGACCAUUCCCAGAGUCUUGCUCUGUCGCCCAGGCUGGAGUGCAGUGGCGCGAUCUCGGCUCACUACAACCUCUGCCUCCCAGGUUCAAGUGAUUCUCCUGCCUCAGCCUCCUGAGUAGCUGGGAUUACAGCUCUGGGACAAACCAGCUUCUAUGUCAUGAGCACACUCAGGCAGCUCAUUGGAGAGAUCUGCAUGGUAAAGCAAUGAGGCCUCCUGCCAGCAGCCAUGUGAGUGGCAUCUUGGAGCCAGACCCUCCAGCCCCAGUCAAGCCUUCGGAUGCCUGCAGCCCUGGCUGACAUUUUAACCACAACUUCAUGAGAGAUUCUGAGCCAGAAUCACCCAGCUAA